rnacentral:lncRNA from 1 species
AGCUGCCUGCCGCUGCUUGUCGGACAGGAUCUCAUGUUAUUUAGGCUUGUCUGGGACUCCUGGCCUCAAGCAAUCCUCCUGCCUCGGCCUACCGAAGUGCUGGGAUUACAGGCAUGAGCCACUGCACCCGGCCACCAGCAUUUGUUAAAGUCUCACCACGGAUCAGGCUCUCAUCUAAAAAACUUGAAGUUGUCAUUCUGUGUCCUUACAGUAACC